CCGGAAGGUGCGGCUGGAUCACCUCCUUUCUAAGGAGCAACUGGCGCGGUCCUUCGGGGCUCGCGUCCAGAGCCAUUUCCCGGGCGAGUGUCCCGGGAUGGUAGCUCAUAUGUGGAGCACUGGUUAUUCGGUCAGCUCAGAGUUCAAGCCAGUUAGUACGUCCUUAGGGGCGGAAGGGUGGUGGCGGUGACGACUUGGCCGAGCACGCUGUUGGGCCCUGAGGGAACGGGCGUCUAGCCAUCCCUUUCAGGACCGGAUCGCCCCGCCGCGGAUGCGGAGGUGCGCGAACCGGGACCGCCCGUAUCUUGAGAACUGCACAGUGGACGCGAGCAUCAUCUGUAGUAGCCAAGUUAAUAAGGGCACAC
rnacentral:misc_RNA from 1 species